GUGGGGAAUAUUGGACAAUGGGCGAAAGCCUGAUCCAGCCAUGCAGCGUGUGUGAAGAAGGUCUUCGGAUUGUAAAGCACUUUAAGUUGGGAGGAAGGGCAGUAAGUUAAUACCUUGCUGUUUUGACGUUACCGACAGAAUAAGCACCGGCUAACUUCGUGCCAGCAGCCGCGGUAAUACGAAGGGUGCAAGCGUUAAUCGGAAUUACUGGGCGUAAAGCGCGCGUAGGUGGUUUUGUAAGUUGGAGGUGAAAUCCCCGGGCUCAACCUGGGAACUGCCUCCAAAACUGCAUGACUAGAGUACGGUAGAGGGUAGUGGAAUUUCCUGUGUAGCGGUGAAAUGCGUAGAUAUAGGAAGGAACACCAGUGGCGAAGGCGACUACCUGGACUGAUACUGACACUGAGGUGCGAAAGCGUGGGGAGCAAACAGGAUUAGAAACCCCUGUAGUCC
rnacentral:rRNA from 1 species